rnacentral:rRNA from 1 species
GACGAACUUUGGCGGCGUGCUUAACACAUGCAAGUCGAACGGAAAGGCCCUGCUUUUGUGGGGUGCUCGAGUGGCGAACGGGUGAGUAACACGUGAGUAACCUGCCCUUGACUUUGGGAUAACUUCAGGAAACUGGGGCUAAUACCGGAUAGGAGCUCCUGCUGCAUGGUGGGGGUUGGAAAGUUUCGGCGGUUGGGGAUGGACUCGCGGCUUAUCAGCUUGUUGGUGGGGUAGUGGCUUACCAAGGCUUUGACGGGUAGCCGGCCUGAGAGGGUGACCGGCCACAUUGGGACUGAGAUACGGCCCAGACUCCUACGGGAGGCAGCAGUGGGGAAUAUUGCACAAUGGGCGGAAGCCUGAUGCAGCAACGCCGCGUGCGGGAUGACGGCCUUCGGGUUGUAAACCGCUUUCGCCUGUGACGAAGCGUGAGUGACGGUAAUGGGUAAAGAAGCACCGGCUAACUACGUGCCAGCAGCCGCGGUGAUACGUAGGGUGCGAGCGUUGUCCGGAUUUAUUGGGCGUAAAGGGCUCGUAGGUGGUUGAUCGCGUCGGAAGUGUAAUCUUGGGGCUUAACCCUGAGCGUGCUUUCGAUACGGGUGACUUUGAGGAAGGUAGGGGAGAAUGGAAUUCCUGGGUGGAGCGGUGGAAUGCGCAGAUAUCAGGAGGAACACCAGUGGCGAAGGCGGUUCUCUGGGCCUUUCCUGACGCUGAGGAGCGAAAGCGUGGGGAGCGAACAGGCUUAGAUACCCUGGUAGUCCACGCUGUAAACGGUGGGUACUAGGUGUGGGGUCCAUUCCACGGGUUCCGUGCCGUAGCUAACGCUUUAAGUACCCCGCCUGGGGAGUACGGCCGCAAGGCUAAAACUCAAAGGAAUUGACGGGGCCCCGCACAAGCGGCGGAGCAUGCGGAUUAAUUCGAUGCAACGCGUAGAACCUUACCUGGGUUUGACAUGGAUCGGGAGUGCUCAGAGAUGGGUGUGCCUCUUUUGGGGUCGGUUCACAGGUGGUGCAUGGCUGUCGUCAGCUCGUGUCGUGAGAUGUUGGGUUAAGUCCCGCAACGAGCGCAACCCUUGUUCACUGUUGCCAGCACGUUAUGGUGGGGACUCAGUGGAGACCGCCGGGGUCAACUCGGAGGAAGGUGGGGAUGACGUCAAGUCAUCAUGCCCCUUAUGUCCAGGGCUUCACGCAUGCUACAAUGGCUGGUACAGAGAGUGGCGAGCCUGUGAGGGUGAGCGAAUCUCGGAAAGCCGGUCUCAGUUCGGAUUGGGGUCUGCAACUCGACCUCAUGAAGUCGGAGUCGCUAGUAAUCGCAGAUCAGCAACGCUGCGGUGAAUACGUUCCCGGGGCU